rnacentral:lncRNA from 1 species
CCAAUUUCCGAUUCUAUUGGAAUCCAUUUUUCUUCUACCUAAGUUUGAUUUUUUUAUUCAGUUGGCGAUCAAAACCCUCAGAACCUGCUUGCCUCUUUCUUAUGGGUUGGACCCCACCACAACACCUUGGAACCCGUUAUGCCCUUAUCCCUGUCAGACUGCAUCACCUUCUCCCACUGCCUGUCUCUUCAUCACCUUCACCCGAUGCGUCUUCAUUGACAAUCGGUUUCUUAGUUUCCACAUUCUCUCAGCGGGGCAGUUUGCUAGCUAUGCUCCUUCACGAUUUCUUGCCCGUCGAGUUUUGGUUCGGUUCAGAGAUUUAUUCCCCUGGCGAUCAACCAAGUGCCUCACUCAGUUGCCCUUUUCCACCACUGUUUGGUUCCACCUUUGGGUUCAGACGACCUCCUGGAUCCCAACUGCCUUCCUUCCAAUUCUAAUAAUUUCAAUUCCAACUUUUUUUCUUCAUCAAUUUGUUAUGUCCCUUCAGGAGCUUUCUUCUCUCUGCACUUACUGCCUUGAUGUCUAUCGCUGUCAAUCUGGUUGCUCCAUCUAUAGAGAUCUGCUGCAUGGUCCAAAAUCAACCAAUCGUCUGCCCAGCUGGAAUUCAUUCCUCUCAGGAGCCAGCUGGCUCCGUUCCCCACCCUGAUUGCUUUCCCCAUUCGUCCUAAUCCCUGGUUACAUCGGGACGAAUGUCACUUCAUAAUCCCUCUUCCUGGAGUUCUGUAUCCUACCCAGAGGUCUCCCUUUGACAUCCCCCUUCUCUCACUCAAAUUUCCACUUCCCAUUCCACUUAGAGCAACAACUCUUUACCCAACGUCCUCCCAUUUACUCCUUCUCUCAAUGAACUUCCAACCUCCCAUUCCACUUACAUAAACAUAUCUUUGCGAAGGCAUGCUUCCCCGCGACCUGUUGCCGGAAAAUCUUCCGCAGAGCUCCAUCUCUUCCUCCAUAUUGUCUGGAAGUUGGGAAACCCCUCAAUACCGGAUACAUUUUUCGCGCUGGAGACCAUCUAGACUGAUGUCGAGGUAUUGUCUAUCCGUUGCCAUCUAUAUACCUUUAUUGCUUCUUUAUUUGGUAUUUUCAUCUGCUUACCUAUUUCGGUAAGGUGUUUUCUUCCCCGGUGAUACUCUUCGGAAUUUUGGUGGUGUCCUACAGAAACGGAUUUCCCCUGGCUAUGUCUACAAGAUUUCAAACUACUCACUCCGAAAACCCCGCGGUAAGUACCACACUUGCCUAUAUGCCCACUAGCUAGCUCUGAUAUGUGCUACUCAGUUUGAAAUCCAAUAUGAUUCGGAACCACCCUUUGCACUAGAGGUCCUCGAAUACAUUUUGCUGCACAAGUUCCCAUCCAGGAUGAAAUCAUGUGCCUACUUGACAGGUUGUGGUUCCUGCCGUUUCGUUCAUGCGCCCCCUUGGUUCUUACUAUUGUCGUUCCCCUAGUUGACCCCUUUUGUCUGCAGAUUUCGUAGGCAAGGUGGUCGGCGUGGGUCCGCCAAAUUACGUCGACCGUCCCACCGGUUUCUCUGCUGUCUAGAAAAUAACUGUUGUGGAUUCAAUGUCUAUGCUUUCUGUUACCUUCCUAUUAUUGCCCUAUGGGUUGGCUGCCUGCUCAUAUCCCAUCCUCAAUGGAUCUUCCUUAGUACUUUCAACGUGUCCAACUCACCAUUCAAAUUGAUUUAUAUCCACUCUUUUCCUCCUGUCAAUGUACCUUCUUCAGCUGCAUACCAUUAAACUCCCUUCCUCCCACCAUUUUUUCAAUGUUUUAUCUAACUAUAUAGAUUGUUUCCUACUAUAUCCCUCAUAAUAUAGUUGCUCUGCCAUCCUCCAAUCUUCUUAUUCUCUUUCACUACAUCCUAAGUUUCAGUUUGGCCGUUAUUGCAUUCCUCUUAUGGCUCUCACCUAUGAUCUCAGUGUUGCACCCUCGGGUUUGGAUCCCUCACCGCCUUCUGUCACAGCUACACUCCCGCUCCGGUAACAUAACAAAUUCCUUGCUUCUGCUCGAAGGUUAGCGCCUUGACUACAAUCAUUGCAGAUCUUACUCUUGACAACAAUAAACUCUCAUGCCUAUUCCGUCUCAUCCAUUUCUGGUGCACAAGGCCUAUUGCCACAGUCGAGGUCCCCGCUACAAUACACCAUAGACCGGACCAUCAACCGCUCAGUUUGUACCCAAUCCUUUUGCCCUUGCAUGACACUUUUAUUGUAUAACCUUUCCAUACUUAUUUUGGGUUCUCGGUGGUCCUUAGGAAACACUUAUUUAGGGUUAUACAGAGCCAUCUCAUGUAUGGAUUGUUGUUGACCUCUUAAUAUUGAGGACGAUCUACAAAGUCUACCAACCAACUCUCAUUACACCAUAGACCAAACCACGCCCGUGCCCGACCCAUGUCUAUCUCUGUAUCAUUCCCGGCGACUUGAGCAGACCGGUUCCUGAGGAUCCAUUAAGACCGUUCUUUCCCCAUGAUAGCUAUACCAUAGUCCCAAAACCUAUGCCUCGGCCUCUACUGAAUUCCCUUGCUGUUUGAGCAGGGCGCUACUUAGUAACCAACCCAUUCGAUUGCAUAUUUUUCCCCUAUUGGGCUUUGCUGACACCAAUCCGACUCCCUACAGAUAUUGUAGGAUGCAUUGUGUCUAUUACUAAGCUAGAGAAUGCGGGUGAUGGUUUGGUUGAUUUUACUCUGUUUAUUUACGAACCCAGGUUAGUUUCCUCUCAUCGCUAUGCCAUUUCAACCAUUAUAUGUGUUAUAUAGCUUCGUUGAUGUUCUCUGCCCCAUUUCCAAUGGAGACCGCAUUUAUGUUCGUUAUACUGAUUACAUGCCCAAUAUGGAAUUCAGUUUUGACCAACUUGCUACAGCUGAAUAGUUCCAUCCUGUCCUUUAUAUCCUAAAAUCCGUUACACGCUGUGAACUUUCGCACCGGUGGUUUGUACUUACGAUUUUUUGUUUUCCUUUGUCACCCCUUGCCUGUAUUUAAAUAUGCUGCCUUUUAUAGAUACCAAAUGGGGACCUCCAUAGCACACCAGCAUCGCGAAUCCUAUUGGUUCCAUUUCGGCCGCCUUUCAAAUAGUAUUUUGAUAUGUAUGUUUUCGUUUUUAUAUGUCUAGUAUAUACUCCUUUCGAACACUACCUAACUUGUUCCCAUAACACUCCAGUUUCUUGCACAACCACUUCCCUGACCCGGUCAGUCUAUCAAAUGAGCGGUGUUUCAGCUUUGUUUGCGGCAACCUCCCGUUGAAAUUGCAGUUGGCUGCAUUAACUGCUGAGCGCCAUGUUAUGCCUCCACACAGUCAUGUAUAUUUCCUUUCCUUCGUCCGCUCUGUCAAAACCAUUCCCGUUCAACAUCUGUGUAAUACUCCUGCUUUCAGGCUAGGAUUAACAUGUGUCACUGCCCAUCCAAUGUUGUCCAGGCCGGUAAUGGACUUAUGUAUGUACUAGCUGCAUGGAUUGUAUAGCUUUGUUAUUAUACACACCUGUUGGCCACCUACUUCUAACCUAAUUGAGUAUGUUUCUCUUUUCCAAUUACUCUGUCAUGGUGUAUAGUAUUGACGCCACUGUAACUGUGCCUCUACUUUUCAUCAGGCCGGCUGCCACAAUGUUGUUCAAAAUGCAUGUGGAAGAAUACAAUGUUUUGUCCGCUGCUGCUAACAAAACCCUCUCAUUUCAGCUCAGGAAUCAGUUCUUAAAUCCAAAUGCGUGAUCGCGUAUCCAACAAUCAUACCAAGUUUUUCGUGCAGAAUCUAUGAGAGCUUGUUGCUGCUUACUACUGAAUUGCACUCCAUAUGCCAUAUCUCCUGUAUUUGGUGGAACUGACCCAGUUGUCAAAUAGUGUUUCCUUCUCGCAGCUAAUUUCCAGUGAGAGACUCUGGGUUGUUGCUCUUUUCCAUUCCAGUCUAACCUUUGCCAUGGGUGCUUAUUUAAUUAUGUCUACUUCUUUUCGUACAUAUCUCUGUCAUAUAUAUAUAUAUAUAUAUAUAUAUCAUUUUCAGCUUGCAACAAGGAAUCUUAUACACCUUUUUCCCAAUGCGGCUCUGUCAACCAACUUCAUUCUUC